UUUGCCUUCCUGUUACAAUUCAGAAAUUGGCAACAUAUGGAGAAGCACCACCCACCUGUACAUAUUUUACUUUCUUUAACAAGCAUAAUUUUGCUAUAGGCUUCAAUAACUCUUCUAUCCGAAUACAUUGACUCUGCUCUCUAGCAUGAUGAGUUUGCUGAUAUUUUCCAUUGCCACAAUCCAUGUUUCCACAGAAUCAAGCCAAGCUUGAGGGUCAUCAAAAGCAUAUCACAUGCCUGGCCUUUUCUCACAAUUUAAAUGUGCUUGAAUCAGCAGCAGCUGGUUCCCAGCUAGCAAGCAAGUUUAUGUGUUGUCUUUGGGCAGGCGGUAGACCCUUCAGUGGUCAACUUUAUUUAGUUUCGCCAAGAUCAGGUUCACCUGCUUGCCGUCCAUGAAAGGCUGAUAGGCAUAUACUAAGCACCCUUACUGUAUCAUGUUAUUCAGCUGAUACAAACAAUUCAGAAACUUCAGAUAGAUUCAUAUAGUAAUAGUAGUCAUCAAUCUGUACGAGUGAAAGUUUUCUGUUGCAGUGGGUUCCUAAAGAAGCAGACCUUCUAAUCACAUCUGCAACCUAUUCUUCAAAUGGUCAGUCAUUAUAUGUUAGCUUCAAAACUGGAUGUCUAAAGUUUCUUGUCUCUACAACACUAGAUGUAAGAUGUCAGAUUAAUGUAACUGCUUACAUACACAACCCCGUACCAGCUGAAGACUGUUAAACAAAGAGCAAUUUGUAGCUCCUCUUCUAUCUCCAUUCAUCCCAUUAAAACUGUUUUAUAUAUGGUUUACAGGUCUACCCUCUUUUUAUUGCAGCUCAUCCAUCUAAUAACCCAAAUCAAAUAGCAUUGGGGCUUAGUAAUGAUAGGGCCCACAUUCUUGAACCCCUAGAAGCUGAAGAAUGAGGUGAACCACCUCCACAGCAGAUGCUAGGAGUAAAGCAAAUGUAAGUGGAUAAAUCUGUUUCAGGGUGACAAUCGCAGCAGGUUUUUGUUGCUUUUGACUUCUUUUGCAUAUCUUAUCAUCAGGUAACCAUCUUUUUGCACCUAGCUAUUGGUGUGUGGGACGAACCAUCAACAGUUUAAAUAGGUGCUAGUAAAAGGGAGGGAUUGGUAAGGUUUUGGGUUUGGGAUUUGGUUUCCCAUGUUGAUAUCUUUUCACCCUUAACUUGUCAAUAUAUAAUACAUAAUUUCUUCUGUU